UAGGGAAUCUUCCGCAAUGGACGAAAGUCUGACGGAGCAACGCCGCGUGAGUGAAGAAGGAUUUCGGUUCGUAAAACUCUGUUGUUAGGGAAGAAAAAAUGUAUAGUAACUAUAUACAAAAGAGACGGUACCUAACCAGAAAGCCACGGCUAACUACGUGCCAGCAUCCGCGGUAAUACGUAGGUGGCAAGCGUUGUCCGGAAUUAUUGGGCGUAAAGCGCGCGCAGGUGGUUUAGAAAGUCUGAUGUGAAAGCCCACGGCUCAACCGUGGAGGGUCAUUGGAAACUAAUAAACUUGAGUGCAGGAGAGAAAAGUGGAAUUCCUAGUGUAGCGGUGAAAUGCGUAGAGAUUAGGAGGAACACCGGUGGCGAAAGCGGCUUUUUGGCCUGCAACUGACGCUGAGGCGCGAAAGCGUGGGGAGCAAACAGG
rnacentral:rRNA from 1 species